AGUUCCAUGGUCUAGUGGUCAGGACAUUGGACUCUGAAUCCAGUAAUCCGACUUCAAAUCUCGGUGGAACCU
rfam:Gossypium raimondii Chr06_contig_1237, whole genome shotgun sequence.